rnacentral:rRNA from 2 species
AAGUCGUAACAAGGUAGCCGUAGGGGAACCUGCGGCUGGAUCACCUCCUUAAUCGACGACA